rnacentral:lncRNA from 1 species
GCACAAGGUGUUUAAGCUGAUUUGGAUGGAGUUAUUCACUUUCUUCGACUACUGGAGGGAAUUUGGCUCAAGGUGGAGAUUGUUAAAUUGUGAUUCAAAUUCUAUCGUAUUGGACUAGACGUAGUACAAACGGUGUGGGCCUUUGCGUUGGUACCGACGCGUACGAGUACAACUCGUUUACUUGUCCUCCAAGGACUCUCAUGUAUUGCCCCUCAUAUAUACUCCAUGUAGUCGCACCUAAAGACGGCCUGUCGUCUCGUG